rnacentral:rRNA from 1 species
UACGGAGGGGGCGAGCGUUAUUCGGAAUUAUUGGGCGUAAAGGGCGCGUAGGCGGCUGAACAAGUCAAAGGUGAAAUCCCUCGGCUCAACUGAGGAACUGCCUUUGAAACUGUUCGGCUUGAGGCCGGGAGGGGGUAGCGGAAUUCCCAGUGUAGCGGUGAAAUGCGUAGAUAUUGGGAGGAACACCAGUGGCGAAGGCGGCUACCUGGACCGGUUCUGACGCUGAGGCGCGAAAGCGUGGGUAGCGAACAGG